AUUAACUACACAAGGUGCCAGUUACUCUAGCAUUCGUCAACAUUGCAUAAUCAAUGGGCCUAGUAUGCCUUUAAGAUGAGUAGUGCAUAGUUAAUAAGUGCACACCACAGACAUGCCAUGUACAUUUUCCAAAUGGCAAGUAAAAUGGAUGUUGAAAUCUCAGUUGGUAUGACUAUCAACAGACUUUAUACCAUGCCAUGCCAAGUAAUGCAGAUAAGGUCAGGGGGACAUAGACCCUACGAGCCCAAGUAAUCAUGGCUGGUAAAUAGCUGUAUGAAGUAAAUGAUUUAUGGAGUGUAUGAGUUUCUAAUAAGUCUGACAGCCAAAUAUAAUGCCUUUUAUCGUUUGGAAAGGCAUAACGCUUUCUAGUAUCCCACAAAAUAUAUAUCCCCUUCAGCAUGUUAUUAUAGCAUGACAUUUUGUUUUCAAAACGCUUGGUAAUUUUUAUACUAAUAUAAAGUAAAAUUUGCAUCUAUGAA